rnacentral:lncRNA from 1 species
UUUCAAUUGUCUCAAGGCUUAAAAAUCCUCCUUUAACCUGUCUCCUCCCCUUCAUCUACACUGAUUGAAGUGGAUUUAACAGGUGAUAUCAAUGAAGGAUCAUAGCUUCACUUGAAUUCACCUGGCCCAGCAGUAGAGAUACCAGUGUUUACUCUGUUUGGUGAGGGGAGGAGCAUGGCGAAAGCCCAGAAGUUCUGCAGGGAGUACUAUGAGGAACUGGCCACCAUCUUCAAUGCUGAGGACCAGAUAGCAGCUCUGAGAGCAGUGUCAGCACACAGCCUCACUGACGCUGUCUGGGUCCACCGCCAGUACCACGCCUUCUGGCCCAAACUGGGCUAUUGGAAUCCACCAAAUGCAAAGUGUGUUGUUCAUGGACAAAGAGCAAAAGUAUGGGGUUUGAGAGAUUGCACAAAUCCAUGUCAAUUUGUGUGCCAGAAAAAAAAGAGAAUGAAGCAGACCAUUGUAAGGAUGUCUCUGAAAUCUAACUCAGGAGCUGACCUCAAUGACCCAGUGGUAAAGGAACAGAUGUUGGAGCAGAUCAGAAAUCAGCUGGCCAAGAACGGGAACUUCAUCCUAGACCUAUCCUGGAGAGAACUGCCUAAUGGAGAUGUUUUUCGCAAGACAGUUGAACUUGAAAGCCCUGAAGAAGGUCACUGUGGGUCUGGAUGAAGAGGACCAGCCAUGAUGCUGUAGCAGGAAAUGGAUGGAAGGUCCAAGAAAACUAAAAUAGUCAAGCUCUCUGUAAAUAACCCUUGUACCUAAUAAUAUAUUACCGUAUAUAAAUAACAUUAUCUUAGUUCACGGACAAUGUUUUUUCUUUAAUGAUUGAUAGCUUUAUGCUUUUGAAUGAGAAAUAGGAUGUCAAGUUAUGUUAGGCUAGUUUUAAACUCUACAAUGUUUUACUAUUGUAACAUCAAAUUAUAAUCUAAGAUUUUUGUUGGUGUAUGAAUGUAAUGUAAUAAUAAUGUUUGUUGUACAUAAGGGCAAUUUGAUUCAUGAAGAGAAGAGGAGUAAAACGGACAUUUGUGUUUGUUCAAGUUUGUAGUUUAAACAUGCAUAGUAACACGUUUUAGUGAGGGAUUUUCAUAGUGUAUAAUUCUUCAUAAUGAUGUUACAAACUCACUUAUGGAUGUAACUGUUGACAUUCUUAAAUAAAAUAUGUUUGAUUAGUGA